UAUCAACACUUCUUCUUUUAAAUUACAAUUACCUUUUUUAUCAUAAACAUUGGUUUUGCAUUCACAGUUUGAAUAUAUAAUAGUGCUGUUCACUUAUAUACUUAGGAUUCAGAAUUAUUAUUUUGUAAUCACUAAUUGACUUUAAUUAAAUAUCUGAAUUACCAAAAAAAAUGUUUGGAUGUUACAAUAGUAGCACAAUUAUAUGUAUAACAACCCUAUUUUCAAAUAUUGGCUUACAAAGAAAUUUAUUGUAUUUAUUUAAGAAAUGUUUUAUUCUUAUUUCACCUACAUUAGAAUUUUAAAAAAUGACAAAUAUGACAAGUAAAUGAUGGGUAGAAACCCCUUGUCUUUAGUUACUGGCCCAUUAAAUGAUGAACAUCAUAAAGUCAUCAAUAAAUGCAGUAUACUAAAAUGUUUUGUCACAAGUUAAACAAUGAACUACUAGAGAAAAUGAUCUUAUCAGUAAAAUUAAAUCAAUAUAGUAAGGCCAAUCUGAGUGGACCAGGAAAAUCAAUACUGGCUUAUCUAAUAAACUACAGACUACAUUAGUUUAUCAAUAGUGCACAAAUUGUUCACUAAUAGUGCACUCCUAGUGAACAAGAGUGUAAAGUUUGGUCUUAAUAGUACUGUACUGUAGCUGGAGACAGUACGAAAAUGUUCUACUUCCGCCGUUCUGUCAAAAAAGGAUUUUAACUGUAGAAGAUUCAUACCAUUUGAUGCCAAGUGUACAAUAAAAACUGAAAUGAAAAUUGACAACAGAAGUGUCAUGGUCUUGGUGGAAUAUGCUAUGCUCUUCAUUGACCUCUGUUUAAUAAUGGCUGGUGAUAGAAAACUAUCAGGAAUGCUUCAAGCUGGCAAUGGAGGGAAAUGUAGAAGACACUGAGAAAUCACAAGGUUUCAAACAGUUAGAAUAUGCUCACAGUCAGUCUUCAAGAUACUCACCUUAAUGGUUCCAGUUUAUACCUACAUACACUGGAGAUAUCAGACCAAGCAGAUAACUACAGAUAUAUUGACACAGAACAUGAAAUUAAUUGCAUAUCCCAACACAACAUAAGACUUUAAACUGUUAAAUAGGCAGUGAGGCAUUUGUGUGUAACGUUCAUUAUUUGAAAUGAAAAAGUUUGACUUUGCAUUUAAAAGCCAUUAGCAUUAGAUUUUCCAAAUAUAUAUAUAUGUUUAUACAGUUUCAACUGUGAUGUAUAUCCAGUUGUACAUGUUUCCUCUAAGGAUUUAAACACUUUUGAAUUAUAUUAGAAAAUUUAAAUGAUACAUUUAUUCAAACUUAUGAUAAUAUAUAAAACACACACUACCAUGGUUGAUCAUGUAAACCUUCAUACUAUAUUUUUAUAGAAAUUAAGUGAAUCUUUUGAUAUUUCUGAAUACAUUUAUUUUUACUUUGACUGGCUCAUGUAUAAACACAGAAUGCUACAUAAAGUGUAUACUCCAGUGUAUAUCAUAACAUGAUUGAAAUAGAUAAUAGAUAAUAUUUGCAUGAAACUCUGAACACUUAACCACUAUGGCAAUCUGCACCAGUUAAGAUACUUUUUUGUUGAAUAAUGUGUUUUGAUGAGACGAGCUUGUAAAAUAGCUGUAUUUCUGUCAUUUUGUGUAUUUGAAGCAUGUCUGCAAAUGUAGAUUUUAUCAUGUAUUUUGAAUGGAUCUGAAAUACUGUUUAUUUAACUGUUAAUACAACGAUUGACACAUUAAAGAUGGAUUUAUGAAUUGUCUUCAUACAAAAAAUCUUACCAGUCAAAAUUGUAUUUUCGAACUGUUUCCCAAUACAAUAAACUCUCAGUCACAGUUUUGAUGCAUAAACGUAUGAACUUUACUCGUUAUUUGAACUAAGGUCGGUUGUUGGUGAUUGGAAUCAGUCAUCAUCAUCAUCAUCAUCAACA